UCCGCGGUAGCUCAGUUGGUAGAGCAGGAGACUGUUAAUCUCUUUGUCACAGGUUCGAGUCCUGUUCGCGGAGCCA
rnacentral:tRNA from 1 species